GACGAACGCUGGCGGCGUGCUUAACACAUGCAAGUCGAACGGUAAGGCCCUUCGGGGUACACGAGUGGCGAACGGGUGAGUAACACGUGGGUGAUCUGCCCUGCACUUCGGGAUAAGCCUGGGAAACUGGGUCUAAUACCGGAUAGGACUCCGGACUGCAUGGUCUGGGGUGGAAAGCUUUUGCGGUGUGGGAUGGGCCCGCGGCCUAUCAGCUUGUUGGUGGGGUGAUGGCCUACCAGGGCGACGACGGGUAGCCGGCCUGAGAGGGUGACCGGCCACACUGGGACUGGGAUACGGCCCAGACUCCUACGGGGGGCAGCAGUGGGGAAUAUUGCACAAUGGGCGCAAGCCUGAUGCAGCGACGCCGCGUGAGGGAUGACGGCCUUCGGGUUGUAAACCUCUUUCAGCAUCGACGAAGCGAAAGUGACGGUAGGUGCAGAAGAAGGACCGGCCAACUACGUGCCAGCCGCCGCAGUAA
rnacentral:rRNA from 1 species